UGGUACAAAUGGAGAAGUAAAAAAUAAGGCCUGGAGUUAUACCCAAAUAAUUUAUGCAGGUGCGGAAAGAAACACUUGAUCUAUGCUCAAUUGCCUAAUAGUAUAACAGAACACGCUCUGCUUCUUCUCCUGUAAUAUUGCUAGCAUAGCUGAUACUUCUCCUGUAAUAUUGCUAGCAUAGCUGAUACUUCUCCUGUAAUAUUGCUAGCAUAACUGAUAGUACAAGUUAAUGCGUGACUGCUUACUCUAUUUAGCCCUAUGAGUGAAUAAAAAAAGAUUGAAAAUCGUAACGCAUUUUUUAUAUGCAGCCCAAUGAAGUGUAUCGCCUUGAGCUCCAUUAUUUAGGCCAGAUCUCAUGAGAGGUGUUGUGUCAAUUGCAUUGGCAUACAAUAAGGUAAAUAAUUGCAUUGGCAUACCAAAUCUCUUGAACAAAUGUGAUUCAGGAAUGCUAUGAGUGAUAAAAUAAACAUAAUAACAUACCAAAUGUGCCCUGUUAAGCAUAAAUGCGAUGAGUUAUAGUAGGAGGCGUACCCAUCCGUCUGAAGACUGCUCUUAAUAUAUUCUUCUCUUUUCCAUGUUGUAACAUCUAGAUCAAUCCACUUAUCGGAUUUUAAUUCCAUGUGCUUGGAUGCAUAUUUGAAUAAAUCCUCUAGUCCUUCUAGCUGUUGUACCAACAAAUGGAAAAAGUAUAAGCAUCACAAGUGAGAAAUAAGAAAAAGAAGGUUCUUAGAAAAGAUGGGGGAGUAGGACUAAGUACUAACCGUAUCAGUGAGGUCCUUGCGGCUCAUGUAUGGGCCUAGCGAGUCGAGCACUUGAACACAUUUUUUUCUGGCAUUUAUAACACAUAAAUACCAGUGAAUGUCGUCCAUGUUUAUUGGUAAGUAUAUCUGAAGAAAAUGAUUAUUUUAGUUGUAGAAGUAUGUGGACGAAUCGGUCGUUCUUGCUGUAGUUCAUAGAAAUAUGUAGAAAAAUAAGACUAACCAUAUCGUUUUCCAAAUACGCUUUGGCUCUGUUUAAUACCCAUGCUGGUGCAGCAUCCAUGUCAUCUGAGGGCAGAUAGCUACCGAUCUUCAUCAUCUUAGAGAUGCAUGCAUUCUCUAAGAACACACUUCCACCUGACCUUACUUGUAGAUGCUCCGUAAAAAUCAUGCAAUUUAUGUACGUAUUUAUGACCUACAAUUAAAAGUAUACAUAGUAUAUUAGAUGACACAUACUUCUAAUUAAAUAGCAUCUUCAUGUCCUAAUAUACUUACUUCGUCGCCAACCCAUUCUGUGGGAGAUAGAAGAGAUAGUAAAUGUCUUUUUUUCAGAAAUGCGUCGCUGAUGCUCACUAAAUUUCUUUCUUUACUUGGUUCGGAUCUGAUUUUUUCUAUAACGGACCAAUCAUCGCCAGUGCAGGCAUAAUCUGUCACGAUGGCCAUAAUAACAUUUAAUGAUAAUGAACACAAAAACAAUAAUAUAGCAGUACAAGGACAUUGAAGGUUUUGUUCUGUGCCUUGUGGAGAAACAACAUAGUCUUGUGCCUUCUUAGGCUUGUUAUGUCGUCGUAUAUGUUUCUUUAUAUGCACGGGCAUUGUUAGCUCGUCCUCUAUAGUUUGAAGCCCUUCCGUGCCGGGUGUUUGUACCAAUUUCUCGUCCUCAAUUGCCACCAUUUGUUGACUUGUUUCGUUGUGGGUUAAUUUCUGAAAACAAUAUUAGAAGAAUUACCCGUAUGUAGGAUAUAAUAUAAUUAUAAUAGUUUUGGAAGAAAUAAUUGGAAAAGGAAAGUCACAUUUGUGUGUUCAGAAUCUUUGGCCUCUCUGUUUGCUAUGUUUUCUUCAAGAAUAGGUGUAUAUUCUGAGCUCUCCGUGCAAUUAUUUUCCUCCACUUCAUUAUUGUUGAGUACUUCACUUGAUUCAUCAUCUCUCGGUAGCUAAAACACAUGGUAGUAUAAUAUUAUAACAGAUAGAAUAUCUUUUUGAUAUAAUAUUGUACUAAAAAAAUUACAAAGUGCUCUGUGGUGUUAGAAUUAGAAUAGUAAUGACAUGUGGAAAGAAAACUUGCCUCUGUGGACUCGGGAUAUGUAUCCUCCUGUACGGUUAUCACCUCAUCAAUAUGCAUAUUCUCUGUAUCCUCCAUAGUAGAGUCUUCUUGUAUCAAUUGUGCCGACUCAUAGUUUGUAUCCUCGUCCUUCUUUAUGACCUCUUCAACCUGCAUAUUAUCUAUAUCCUCAUCCUUUGCUACCUUGUUGAUGCCAUCCUAACAACCCAAGUAUGACACUUUUAGAUAGGAAACCUUGCAUAGAAAGAACAGAGAUAUAAUAUGUCUUUACCAUCUCGAUAGCAUGGACAGUAGUACCGGAUCUGGUUGGAGAUUGACUCGCAUGGGGCACCGGUGACGGAGGCGUAGACAUGGACGAUGACGGUGCUUCACCAAGGGCAGAUGUGUGCGGCUCAGUGGAGAGACUUGUUGUGGAUGUAUGUUGGGAUGCAGAUGAGAGAUCGCGAGGGAGGAUGGAGGAGAGGUGAAAGUAAUGGUAUCAGACAAUAUAAGGCAGAAUCGUGAGAGAAAGGAAACUACUAUCGCGAUAAUUGGGGACUCCUGAUUGCUAUCAUCCGCGGAUUUUUCUGAGGCCCCAGAAUCUUAUCUUGUGCUUUUUUUAUACUCACACAAAAUUAUUGGAGUUAUUUUCGUGGUACAUUUUAUAUGCAUAAAUAUUGUGAUUGGCCCACCUUCCUUCUGUAACCGUGGGCUUAAUAAUUCAGAAAAGGCACACCCUUUUAAUAGUUGAGAAACUAAUUUUUUCUGUUUCAUUUGAAAUUCAGCUGAUGUAUGGUGGUUGCCUUCUUGUACAUGAGCAAGCGACUGCAGGAGAUCACGACUUGUUCUUUUGAUUUUUUUUGGUUCAUCACAUGAUCCAUCAAGCCAGCCAAGGGGGAGAUCAGUGAAGAGGUGAAGUAGAAAUUGGAAUCGGAAUAGGAGGCAUAUCUUCAACUGGUUUGAUGCAUGUUGGAAGAGG
rnacentral:lncRNA from 1 species